rnacentral:sRNA from 1 species
AUUCAAUAUAACACAAAACUGAAUGAUGAUAAUGCUAAAACAUUUAUGGUAUUAAACUAAGUAUAUUGACCUUUCUCUGCUGGCAUGAAAUUUAUAUGAGGUCAAUGAUCAAAAUUUUGAGAUAUGGUGUCUUUAAUCAUUUUUAAGCAUUUUUCAAUAUUUUUGUAGUGUGUGCCAUGCGCUUAUCUAAACGAAAAAGCAAAGUAAAACCAACAGAAAAUAUACAAAAUUAUGUUGACUAACAAAUAAAAUCUUAACUUUAAAUAUUAUAGUACUACCAAAAAUAUUUCAGUGGAUAACAAAAUCUGAAAAAUUUAGUCCGAAUUUCCUCUGUUUCGCUAAAAGCACAAACUUUGUCAGAUCCUAAUUCCAUAAUUUAGUAAAACUAUCUAUUGUUAUGUCAAUAAAGUAUUAAUUACAUAAAUACUUUCUGUAUUUAAAACAAAUUUUACUCAUGAAAUUUAACUUUUUCACAUUCAGAUUUGAGAACUCAAACCCUGAGUAAACAACGUCCUUAAAAACAAAGCAAUGAUUCAGGGACUAAUUAAAAAUCUUAACUGAAACUGUAAAUUUGUUAUAAAAAGGAAAGAAGACAAAAAAAAGCAGGUGGAGUAAAAAAAUUAUCUAAAACAAAAGGGUGUAAUACUCAGCAGUUACAGCAAAAUUUGAUUAUAACGAACACGGAUAUAGCGGAUUUGGGGCUAUUUAAAUAAAUUUUUAAAAAACCAUUUUCUAUAUAUGCACUACAUUUACUUAUUUGUUAAAUGAUUAGUCAAGGUCGUAUACGAUUUUAUUUAAGGAAAGAUUUUUCUUUAUUUGGAAGCACGUGUAGAUUUAGGAAAUGCACAUAUUGUAACCUGUACUGUACACAAAGAGCACAUUAAAAGUAUUGCAU